rnacentral:rRNA from 1 species
UCCUUAGAUGUCCUGGGCUGCACGCGCGCUACACUGAUGUGUCCAGUAAGCACCUAACCUCUUCCGAAAGGAACGGGUAACCUUUGCAAAGCACAUCGUGAUGGGGAUAGAUUAUUGCAAUUAUUAGUCUUGAACGAGGAAUUCCUAGUAAGCACAAGUCAUCAGCUUGUGUUGAUUACGUCCCUGCCCUUUGUACACACCGCCCGUCGCUCCUACCGAUUGAAUGUUCCGGUGAGCUCUUCGGACUGCGCGGUCUGCAGUUUCUGCGUUCCGUGCGGAAAGUUGUGCAAACCUUAACAUUUAGAGGAAGGAGAAGUCGUAACA